AUCAUAACUGAAUGCAUUGAGUGUGGUCAUCAAGGAACUUCCACGUGAACUUUCCCAAAAGCUCUAGAGAUUGUCUGCUUGCCAAUUGUUACUUCUUUACAGUGUUAUGCAGGAGAGAAGAUCAAGGAGAGCAUACAAUCAUGUGGAAAAUGAAAAAUGAGCUUAUAGGAAACUGGUGUGAGCUAUGAUGAUGGAUGGUUUUGCAGUACACAAGAACGUUAAGCUAUGUGGUACUCACGAAGUGCAUUGAUGUGAAUAAGACCUGGCGACUGCUUUAAAGCAUUUUAAUUGCAUCGUGGAUAUGCAUUGGU